rnacentral:misc_RNA from 1 species
UACGGAGGGGGCUAGCGUUGUUCGGAAUUACUGGGCGUAAAGCGCACGUAGGCGGCGCGUCAAGUCAGGGGUGAAAGGCCUGGGCUCAACCUGGGAACGGCCUUUGAUACUGACGUGCUGGAGUCCGGGAGAGGGUGACGGAAUUCCCAGUGUAGAGGUGAAAUUCGUAGAUAUUGGGAAGAACACCGGUGGCGAAGGCGGUCACCUGGCCCGGGACUGACGCUGAGGUGCGAAAGCGUGGGGAGCAAACAGG